AUGGCCGCCGCCGGGCCGGGCGCCGGGAACGCGGCUUCAGCAGGCCGGAGUUGCCGCGCAGAGGCCAUGGCGUGUGUCCUACCUAUGCUGUUGGUGCCUGUGCCUGCUGAGGCGACGGGGCGCCUGGGGCUCCGGGCGCAGCUGCACAGAAAGCAGGAGGCCCUCGGGAGUCUGACACCCGCGGGCAGCCUUCAGGUGCUUUCCUUGGUGCCGGGCGGCCCGCGCGGGGGCAGCUGCGGCCUCCAGGGCCCCUUCCAGCAGUUUACGUGGGAGGAUUUUGAUAACGGCAGCACACCAACACACAAGCCCAAAUUGCUUGCUCUUAGUGAAAAUUAUGAACUGCUUAUCUAUGAAUUUAAUUUGGAAGAUGGAAGAUGUGAUUCAGCUGUAUUGUACAGCUGUAGUGUAAAGACUCUGCAAAAGCUCGUUGAAGAUCAAGGUGUCAGUAUUUCCUUACUGUCUUUGAGAAUUCUGUCAUUUCACAAUAACACAUCAGUACUGUUCAUCAACAAAUGUAUCAUCCUACAUGUUGUGUUUCCUGAGAGAGACGCUGAGAUUAGAGUACUCAGCUGUUUUACAUUACCCUUGCCUGUACAGACAGUGGACACCAUCAUUGACUCGCAGCUCUGCAGAGGAAUUCUCUUUGUUUUGAGUAGUUUAAGCUGGAUCCGUAUCCUUGGCAGUAAAGAUGUAGACUGAUGUGUGAGGGAAGAGAACAUGAAACAAUUCUAAGGGCUGGGAUCUACGGAGAGUGGCUAGUUUUCCAGUUCAACUUUUCAGGGAAAAAGAUUCUCAUGCACUUAAUAGUACCAUAUAAUUUGUAUUCUGUUCAAAUCUUCUAGUGUGUAUAUAUGGUCAUAAUCUUUUUUUGUUUUUUGUUUUUUUUUGGUACUGGGAAUUGGACUCUGGUCCUUGCACCUGCGAGACAGGUGGUGGAACCACUGAGCUAAAUCCCCGGCCCUGGUC
rnacentral:lncRNA from 1 species